GCAGAUUGCUUUUUAUGCUUAUCAACAUGGUAACCCUGAAAAAGCAAGCUGAUCAUGAAGGAAGUUUUUUGGAUCAGCUUUAUAAGGCAGCUACUUCUCUGGGUGGUACCCUUCAGUAAGAGAAGCUUGAAUGAACUCCUCAAAUUCAGCUUCCAUGGUGCGGAGUUCUUCGUUGGCAUCAAGAUCGAACGCCUCUGGAAGAAAUUCAGCAAUGUCAUUGCUGAAAUCAUCUUCACCAUCGAUGUAGAAGUCACUCUCUUCCUGAUGUUGGCUGAGCCAGUAA
rnacentral:misc_RNA from 1 species